UACUUACUAACUACUUUUUAUCUUUUCCUUUUUUUUUUUUUUUUAUCUAAAAAUUAAGGGGCUGGGUAAGAUUUUUGAAUAAUUUCUUACUUUUUAUUUUUUAGUCCCCUUUUUUUAUGGACUUUUACUUUUAAUUGAUUCACUUAAUAUAGAUAAAGUGCUCUACUAAGAUAAUGUGGGGAAAA
rnacentral:tRNA from 1 species